rnacentral:rRNA from 2 species
UGAGACAGGUGCUGCAUGGCUGUCGUCAGCUCGUGUUGUGAAAUGUUGGGUUAAGUCCCGCAACGAGCGCAACCCUUAUCCUUUGUUGCCAGCGAUUCGGUCGGGAACUCAAAGGAGACUGCCGGUGAUAAACCGGAGGAAGGUGGGGAUGACGUCAAGUCAUCAUGGCCCUUACGAGUAGGGCUACACACGUGCUACAAUGGCGCAUACAAAGAGAAGCGACCUCGCGAGAGCAAGCGGACCUCACAAAGUGCGUCGUAGUCCGGAUCGGAGUCUGCAACUCGACUCCGUGAAGUCGGAAUCGCUAGUAAUCGUGGAUCAGAAUGCCACGGUGAAUACGUUCCCGGGCCUUGUACACACCGCCCGUCACACCAUGGGAGUGGGUUGCAAAAGAAGUAGGUAGCUUAACCUUCGGGAGGGCGCUUACCACUUUGUGAUUCAUGACUGGGGUGAAGUCGUAACAAGGUAACCGUAGGGGAACCUGCGGUUGGAUCACCUCCUUACCUGAA